rnacentral:rRNA from 1 species
UCAUAUGCUUGUCUCAAAGAUUAAGCCAUGCAUGUGUAAGCACACACUGUUUUAAAAGUGAAGCCGCGAAUGGCUCAUUACAACAGCCACAGUUUAUUAGAACUUACAUACAUGGAUAACUGUGGUAAUUCUAGAGCUAAUACACGCACAAAAACUUCAACUAUACAAUGGUUGAAGUGCUUUUAUUAGAACAAAAACCGAACGGCGUUCGACUUGUGUUGAACGUCGAAACUCUUUGGUGAAUCUGAAUAACUAUUUCUGAUCGCAUGGUCUAGCACCGGCGACAUCACUUUCAAGUGUCUGCCUUAUCAACCUUCGAUGGUAGUCUAUGCGACUACCAUGGUGAUAACGGGUAACGGAGAAUCAGGGUUCGACUCCGGAGAGGGAGCCUGAGAAACGGCUACCACAUCCAAGGAAGGCAGCAGGCGCGCAAAUUACCCACUCCCAGCUUGGGGAGGUAGUGACGAAAAAUAACGAGACGAUUCUCGUUUGAGAAACGUUAUCGAAAUGAGUACGCUUUACACACGCUAACGAGUAGCAAUUGGAGGGCAAGUCUGGUGCCAGCAGCCGCGGUAAUUCCAGCUCCAAUAGCGUAUAUUAAAGUUGUUGCAGUUAAAAAGCUCGUAGUUGAACCUUGGGCUUGGUUGGCCGGUCCGCCUUUUUGGCGAGUACUGGACCCAACCGAGCCUUUCCUUCUGGCUAACCUUUCGCCCUUGUGGUGUUUGGCGAACCAGGACUUUUACUUUGAAAAAAUUAGAGUGUUCAAAGCAGGCCUUUGCUCGAAUAUAUUAGCAUGGAAUAAUAGAAUAGGACGUUAUGGUUCUAUUUUGUUGGUUUCUAGGACCAUCGUAAUGAUUAAUAGGGACGGUCGGGGGCAUCAGUAUUCAGUUGUCAGAGGUGAAAUUCUUGGAUUACCUGAAGACUAACUACUGCGAAAGCAUUUGCCAAGGACGUUUUCAUUAAUCAAGAACGAAAGUUAGAGGUUCGAAGGCGAUCAGAUACCGCCCUAGUUCUAACGGUAAACUAUGCCAACCAGCGAUUCGCCGAAGUUCAUUUAAGACUCGGCGAGCAGCUUCCGGGAAACCAAAGUGUUUCGGUUCCGGGGGAAGUAUGGUUGCAAAGCUGAAACUUAAAGGAAUUGACGGAAGGGCACCACCAGGAGUGGAGCCUGCGGCUUAAUUUGACCCAACACGGGAAAACUCACCCGGCCCGGACACUGAAAGGAUUGACAGAUUGACAGCUCUUUCUUGAUUCAGUGGGUAGUGGUGCAUGGCCGUUCUUAGUUGGUGGAGCGAUUUGUCUGGUUAAUUCCGAUAACGAACGAGACUCUACCCUAUUAAAUAGUGACAGUAUUGCAUAUUCUGUGCUGAUCACUUCUUAGAGGGACUGGCAAAUUGAAAGCUGCACGAAAAAGAGCAAUAACAGGUCUGUGAUGCCCUUCGAUGUCCGGGGCUGCACGCGCGCUACAAUGAAAGCGUCAACGUGAGUUACGUCCUUACCUGAAAAGGUUUGGCAAUCGAUUGAAACGUUUUCUUGAAUGGAAUAGGGAAUUGCAAUUGUUUCCCUUGAACGAGGAAUUCCCAGUAAGCGUGAGUCAUUAGCUCGCGUUGAUUACGUCCCUGCCCUUUGUACACACCGCCCGUCGCUACUACCGAUUGGAUGAUUUAGUGAGGUGUUUUGACUAGCGCCUGUAGUCGGAUGUAUAUUCGGCUUCGCGCCGGGAAAUUUCCCAAACCAAAUCAUCUAGAGGAAGUAAAAGUCGUAACAAGGUUUCCGUAGGUGAACCUGCGGAAG